AGAGUUUGAUCAUGGCUCAGGAUGAACGCUGGCGGCAUGCCUAACACAUGCAAGUCGAACGGACCUUUAUUUUGAGAGUUCCUUUAUAGAAAUUCUCAAAAAUACUGGUUAGUGGCGGACGGGUGAGUAACACGUUGGUACCUACCCUCUAGUGGGGAAUAACUUCGAGAAAUCGAGGCUAAUACCGCAUGUGGUCUACGGAUCAAAGCAGUAAUGCGCUAGAGGAGGGGCCUGCGUCUGAUUAGCUUGUUGGUGAGGUAAAAGCUCACCAAGGCGACGAUCAGUAGCUGGAUCGAGAGGUUGACCAGCCACACUGGGACUGAGAUACGGCCCAGACUCCUACGGGAGGCAGCAGUGAGGAAUCUUCCACAAUGGACGAAAGUCUGAUGGAGCAAUGCCGCGUGCAGGAUGACGGCCUUCGGGUUGUAAACUGCUUUUAUAUGGGAAGAUUAUGACGGUACCAUAUGAAUAAGGACCGGCUAACUACGUG
rnacentral:rRNA from 1 species